rnacentral:rRNA from 1 species
AUUGAACGCUGGCGGCAUGCCUUACACAUGCAAGUCGAACGGUAACGCGGGGCAACCUGGCGACGAGUGGCGAACGGGUGAGUAAUACAUCGGAACGUGCCCAGUAAUGGGGGAUAGCCCGGCGAAAGCCGGAUUAAUACCGCAUACGACCUAAGGGUGAAAGAGGGGGAUCGCAAGACCUCUCGUUAUUGGAGCGGCCGAUGGCAGAUUAGGUAGUUGGUGGGGUAAUGGCCUACCAAGCCGACGAUCUGUAGCUGGUCUGAGAGGACGACCAGCCACACUGGGACUGAGACACGGCCCAGACUCCUACGGGAGGCAGCAGUGGGGAAUUUUGGACAAUGGACGCAAGUCUGAUCCAGCAAUGCCGCGUGCGGGAAGAAGGCCUUCGGGUUGUAAACCGCUUUUGUCAGGAAAGAAAUCUUCUGGGUUAAUACCUCGGGAGGAUGACGGUACCUGAAGAAUAAGCACCGGCUAACUACGUGCCAGCCGCCGCCGUAAGAC